AGGGGAGAUGCAUCAAACCAGGAGACUCUGGCAGCUGAACUGCUUCAGAUCUUUGAAUCAAACAUGACUCACUACAAGUGCUUUUUUUUUUUGACAUUUCAACUCUGUUUCUCUCACAAUUCUUCCUGGAGCUACUACCACAGAAGACAGGACAACUGCUGGUGGGCUUGCUGGCACCAGCUUUCUGACUAACCUUCUCAGCCCAGUCCCUGGAAGACACUUCGUCAGGUAUAGCCUAAGAAAUGGCCCUCUGUUGGGCCAUUCUAACCAAAACCUGUGGAUAAGUACCCACUGCCUAGUCAAACGCAGACCUACAAGGCCCACUGGCCAGGUUUCCAGCCCAUCUCAGACCAGAAAUGCAGAUGGUCACCUUGGAGAACUAACAGGUCAUGAGUUUCCAUAUGUCAGCACAGUCCAUUACAUGAACUGGAUCCAAGAAAUAAGAAGUAAUACAGAUUGAACUCAGAGCCUUGCACAUUUUGAGCAAGUGCUCUACCACUGAAGUCUAUAUAUCCCCUGCCCAGGAUCCGACUAACCAGCAAGCAAAACAGAUUCUGGUCUGUGGAGAGGCCACAUUAUCAUGGUGGGACGAGACAUGUACCCCAGCUGAGAAAAGAGGGGGAGAAGAGGGCUUGUGAUCUUAUAUCCUUGUCAAGUGUGUCCAGUGACGUUCCCUCAGUAUGUACGUCUCUGCACCACCAAGCCUUGGUUGGAGCUGCUGCCAUCUCUCAACUGCAUUAUGGGAAGACAUUGGAUGCUUGUCUCUGCUCCACAACCUGCCCUGCUCCAGUCCUGUCCUUUGGUAACAACUAAUAUUGCUAUGAAACUCAUGGGGGCAGGGGAGGAACUCAUGCCUUUCUCCUGUUCCAGUUCCUUGCUUGGCUCUCCUGUCUUCAUAGUCAUCUGAUGGGCUUCAGGGCCUUCAGUAUCCAGCCCUCAGAUGCCUGUCCUGCCCUUGCUCCUUGUCAGACUCCAUGUUUGUCUCUGGAACUCGGAAGGUCAUUCUUCUACCUUGGAUACCACAUCCCUGCUAACCAUACUCUUCUCCUACAGGCUAAAGCCUCUUUCUCCAGAUUCAUCCCAGAAGUGUUAGGCUCCUAAGCUGCUCCUAGAAGCAAGCUAUGAUUCCCUUCCCCUCUUCACCUCAAGCAAAUGUGGAGUUGGCUACACCCAUCUAUGCUCUCAUAACCCCAUCCUUGCAUUUCCCCCAUGAAGUAUAUGCUAUUACCGUCCACCUCCAUGUAUCCAUCACAAGAUAGAGACCUUUAGGAGUAUGUGGGAAGCCACAUGUGCUGUUGUAGAGUGGCACUGACUACUGCUGGCCACCAC